rnacentral:lncRNA from 1 species
UUACACUACAAUUCAGCAUUUUACUGUCUUCAAUUCUGGUCACAUAAAUGACUAAGUAGAGUGAAACAAAGAUGUUUGAUACUUUUGGGAAGUUUAAGGCUCAAGGAAGGCUGAAUCAGAUUCGUCUUUAACAUAGCUUUGUUCCCUGAUGCAAAUAAUUAGCUUUGUUAUUAAUAAUAAUUAGCCAUACUAAUAAUAAUUAGCCAUCCACUGGCUUUUCCUUCCCAUGUUGACUUAAACUAGUCUAACAUUUCCCCAGGUAACUUCGUCUAGACUGACUUUCUUUUCAGGACUAAGUUAUGUGGGCUCUCCCUUCUAGGAGAUUUCCAUUUCACCUAAUAGUGAAAUUGCUAGAAUGACGGGCCUAACUUUUGGCGGCCUCUCCCUCUGAUCCAGUCUUUCCUGAGUCUGUGCCCUUGCGACCAAGGUGAGGGAGAAGAGAGAAGCUUUCUCAGGUGGAGUCACCAAGCAGAAAUGGGUCAUCUGUGGUAAAUCAUCAGCCUGCCCAGGACGGGGAAAUGACAGGACUCUCAGAGUGCUGCGGGAGUGUAGCUGUUACCUCUCUCUCUCAUGGUGGCUUUGAAAAUCCACAUUUUGUAUUUAACAGGGUCAACAUCAGGUGACCCAUUAGGGUCACCCAGUCUUAUUUUUCCUUUCAUGGUUUUCAAGCAAUGACGUGGAAUCUGGGCACUGACUUCAUGAAGGGGCAGCAUGGUAGAGAGGAAAGCCCUGACAUCAACCUGCCUGGGCGGCUUCUGCUGACAUCCAUGAAUGUCCGGUAGGGGAGACUCUCUUCCGCUCAUUAUGGUAAUCCCGAGAGCAUCUCUGAGGCUUUGUUGCAAUUUCAGGUGGCGGCUCGCUUGUUUCUCUGAUAUUCUAAUCCGGGUCACAGAAUGGCUAAGGCAGCUUUAAGUGGAGGGCAGAGUUUUUUCCCUGUUUGCCUGGUGUUUCGCACCCUGAAAGAAUGUUGUGCCUGCUCUUUUUUCUGGUGACUGCUGUUCGUGCUGAACUGUGUCAACCAGGUAUGUGGUCUUGAAACUUAAGAAUAGGGUAAUAGUGGGACGCCUGGGUGGCUCAGUUGGUUAGACGACUGCCUUCAGCUCAGGUCAUGAUCCCGGAGUCCCGGGAUCGAGUCCCACAUCGGGCUCCCAGCUCAUGGGGAGUCUGCUUCGCUCUCUGACCUUCUCCUN